GGCCUCUGGGUCCACCUCCCACCCGUGUUUAUUUUACCUUGUUGCUUCGGCGGGCCCGCCUUAACUGGCCGCCGGGGGGCUUACGCCCCCGGGCCCGCGCCCGCCGAAGACACCCUCGAACUCUGUCUGAAGAUUGUAGUCUGAGUGAAAAUAUAAAUUAUUUAAAACUUUCAACAACGGAUCUCUUGGUUCCGGCAUCGAUGAAGAACGCAGCGAAAUGCGAUACGUAAUGUGAAUUGCAAAUUCAGUGAAUCAUCGAGUCUUUGAACGCACAUUGCGCCCCCUGGUAUUCCGGGGGGCAUGCCUGUCCGAGCGUCAUUGCUGCCCUCAAGCACGGCUUGUGUGUUGGGCCCCGUCCUCCGAUCCCGGGGGACGGGCCCGAAAGGCAGCGGCGGCACCGCGUCCGGUCCUCGAGCGUAUGGGGCUUUGUCACCCGCUCUGUAGGCCCGGCCGGCGCUUGCCGAUCAACCCAAAUUUUUAUCCAGGUUGACCUCGGAUCAGGUAGGGAUACCCGCUGAACUUAAGCAUAUCAAUAAGCCAAAGG
rnacentral:rRNA from 1 species